GACGAACGCUGGCGGCGCGCCUAACACAUGCAAGUCGAACGAGCGAGAGAGAGCUUGCUUUCUCGAGCGAGUGGCGAACGGGUGAGUAACGCGUGAGGAACCUGCCUCAAAGAGGGGGACAACAGUUGGAAACGACUGCUAAUACCGCAUAAGCCCACGACCCGGCAUCGGGUAGAGGGAAAAGGAGCAAUCCGCUUUGAGAUGGCCUCGCGUCCAAUUAGCUAGUUGGUGAGGUAACGGCCCACCAAGGCGACGAUCGGUAGCCGGACUGAGAGGUUGAACGGCCACAUUGGGACUGAGACACGGCCCAGACUCCUACGGGAGGCAGCAGUGGGGAAUAUUGCACAAUGGGGGAAACCCUGAUGCAGCGACGCCGCGUGGAGGAAGAAGGUCUUCGGAUUGUAAACUCCUGUUGUUGAGGAAGAUAAUGACGGUACUCAACAAGGAAGUGACGGCUAACUACGUG
rnacentral:rRNA from 1 species